AGUGAACGCUGGCGGUAGGCCUAACACAUGCAAGUCGAACGGCAGCACAGUAAGAGCUUGCUCUUACGGGUGGCGAGUGGCGGACGGGUGAGGAAUACAUCGUAAUCUACUUUUUCGUGGGGGAUAACGUAGGGAAACUUACGCUAAUACCGCAUACGACCUACGGGUGAAAGCAUUGGUUCUUCUCACCUUGCGCGUUUGUAUGAGCCGAUGUCGGAUUAGCUAGUUGGCUUGGUAAAGUCCCACCAAGGCGACGAUCCGUAGCUGGUCUGAGAGGAUGAUAAGAGAAACGGGAAGGGAGAAAGGGAAAAGAGAACGAAGGGAGGAAGCAGAGGGGAAUAGUGGACAAUGGGGGCAAGCAUGAUACAGAAAGACGGAGUGGGUGAAGAAGGCGUUGGGGUUGUAAAGACCUUUUGUUGGGAAAGAAAAGCAGGAGGUUAAUACGAAGAUGUUGUGACGGUAACGAAAGAAUAAGCACCGGCUAACUACGUG
rnacentral:rRNA from 1 species